GAUGAAGAACGCAGCGAAAUGCGAUAAGUAAUGUGAAUUGCAGAAUUCAGUGAAUCAUCGAAUCUUUUAACGCACAUUGCGCCCGCCAGUAUUCUGGCGGGCAUGCCUGUUCGAGCGUCAUUUCAACCCUCAGGCCCCCAGUGCCUGGUGUUGGGGAUCGGCAGCAGGGCGUCAAGCCCGCCGGCCCCGAAAUCUAGUGGCGGUCUCGCUGUAGUCCUCCUCUGCGUAGUAGCACAACCUCGCAGUUGGAACGCGGCGGUGGCCAUGCCGUUAAACACCCCACUUCUGAAAGUUGACCUCGGAUCAGGUAGGAAUACCCGCUGAACUUAAGCAUAUCAAUAAGCGGAGGA
rnacentral:misc_RNA from 1 species